UACGUAGGGGGCUAGCGUUGUCCGGAAUUAUUGGGCGUAAAGAGCGUGUAGGCGGUUCGAUAAGUCUGCUGUGAAAGUCCAGGGCUCAACCCUGGAAUGCCGGUGGAUACUGUUGAACUGGAGUCCGGAAGAGGCGAAUGGAAUUCCUGGUGUAGCGGUGAAAUGCGCAGAUAUCAGGAGGAACACCAAUAGCGAAGGCAGUUCGCUGGGACGGUACUGACGCUGAGACGCGAAAGCGUGGGGAGCAAACAGG
rnacentral:rRNA from 1 species